AGAGUUUGAUCCUGGCUCAGGAUGAACGCUGGCGGCGUGCUUAACACAUGCAAGUCGAACGGUGAAGGGGGAGCUUGCUCCUCUGGAUCAGUGGCGAACGGGUGAGUAACACGUGAGCAAUCUGCCCCGAACUAUGGGAUAAGCGCUGGAAACGGCGUCUAAUACCGGAUACGACGCGGGAGGGCAUCCUCUCCGCGUGGAAAGAACCUCGGUUCGGGAUGAGCUCGCGGCCUAUCAGCUUGUUGGUGAGGUAAUGGCUCACCAAGGCGACGACGGGUAGCCGGCCUGAGAGGGUGACCGGC
rnacentral:rRNA from 1 species